GCAAUGCCGCGUGUGGGAAGAAGCAUCUUGGUGUGUAAACCACUGUCGGCGGGGAAAAACAAAAUGAUUGUACCCGCAAAGGAAGCAUCGGCUAACUACGUGCCAGCAGCCGCGGUAAGACGUAGGAUGCAAGCGUUGUCCGGAUUUAUUGGGCGUAAAGAGUUCGUAGGCGGCAUUCAAUGUCCAAUGUUAAAUAAUAGAGCUUAACUCUAUACCUGCAUUGGAAACUGGUUUGCUAGAGCAAGGUAGGGGUCAGAAGAAUUCCUGGUGUAGCGGUGAAAUGCGUAGAUAUCAGGAGGAACACCGGUGGCGAAAGCGUCUGACUGGGCCUUUGCUGACGCUGAGGAACGAAAGCUAGGGGAGCGAAAGGGAUUAGAUACCCCUGUAGUCCUAGCCAUAAACGAUGGAUACUAGUUGUUGCGGGUAUCGACCCCCGCGGUGACGGCGCUAACGCAUUAAGUAUCCCGCCUGGGGAGUACGUUCGCAAGAAUGAAACUCAAAGGAAUUGACGGGGACCCGCACAAGCGGUGGAACAUGUGGUUCAAUUCGAUGCAACGCGAAGAACCUUACCUGGCCUUGACAUGUCUAGAAUCCGGUAGAGAUACUGGAGUGCCUUCGGGAGC
rnacentral:rRNA from 1 species